CAGCAGCCACGGUAAUACGUAGGGUGCGAGCGUUAAUCGGAAUUACUGGGCGUAAAGCGUGCGUAGGCGGCUUCUUAAGUCGGAUGUGAAAUCCCUGAGCUUAACUUAGGAAUUGCAUUCGAUACUGGGAAGCUAGAGUAUGGGAGAGGAUGGUAGAAUUCCAGGUGUAGCGGUGAAAUGCGUAGAGAUCUGGAGGAAUACCGAUGGCGAAGGCAGCCAUCUGGCCUAAUACUGACGCUGAGGUACGAAAGCAUGGGGAGCAAACAGGAUUAGAUACCCCGGUAGUCCCUGUCUCUUAUAC
rnacentral:rRNA from 1 species